rnacentral:tRNA from 1 species
GGGGAUAUGGCUCAGUGGGUAGAGUACCUGCCUAGCAUGCACAAGUUCCUGGGUUCACUCCCCAGCACCACCA